rnacentral:rRNA from 1 species
CAAUAGCGUAUAUUAAAGUCGUUGCAGUUAAAAAGCUCGUAGUUGGAUUUCUGAUUGAAGCGACCGGUCGGGCGUUGAUUCGUCUGCACUGGAGUCGGUUUUGGCCAUCCUCUAGGAAAGUGCGUCUGGUAUUAAGUUAUCGGGCGUAUGAUCCUGGUCUUUUACUGUGAAAAAAUUAGAGUGUUUAAAGCAGGCCUUCGCCUUGAAUACAUUAGCAUGGAAUAAUAAGAUAGGACUUUGGUCUAUUUUGUUGGUUUGCAGACCGAAGUAAUGAUUAAUAGGGAUAGUUGGGGGUAUUUAUAUUCCGAUGUCAGAGGUGAAAUUCUUAGAUUUUCGGAAGAUAAACUUAUGCGAAAGCAUUUACCAAGGAUGUUUNCAUUA